rnacentral:rRNA from 1 species
CAAUAGCGUAUAUUUAAGUUGUUGCAGUUAAAAAGCUCGUAGUUGGAUUUCGGGUAGGAUUUGCCGGUCCGUCUUUGAGAUGUGUACUGGUAAGUCCUAUCUUCUUGUCGGGGACCAGCUCCUGGGCUUCACUGUCCGGGACUGGGAGCCGACGAAGUUACUUUGAGUAAAUUAGAGUGUUCAAAGCAAGCCUACGCUCUGAAUAUAUUAGCAUGGAAUAACACGAUAGGACUCUGGCUUAUCUUGUUGGUCUGUGAGACCAGAGUAAUGAUUAAGAGGGACAGUCGGGGACAUUCGUAUUUCAUUGUCAGAGGUGAAAUUCUUGGAUUCAUGAAAGACGAACUUCUGCGAAAGCAUUUGUCAAGGAUGUUUUCAUUAA